rnacentral:rRNA from 1 species
GACGAACGCUGGCGGCGUGCUUAACACAUGCAAGUCGAACGGAAAGGCCCUGCUUUUGUGGGGUGCUCGAGUGGCGAACGGGUGAGUAACACGUGAGUAAACUGCCCUUGACUUUGGGAUAACUUCAGGAAACUGGGGCUAAUACCGGAUAGGAGCUCCUGCUGCAUGGUGGGGGUUGGAAAGUUUCGGCGGUUGGGGCUGGACUCGCGGCUUAUCAGCUUGUUGGUGGGGUAGUGGCUGACCAAGGCUUUGACGGGUAGCCGGCCUGAGAGGGUGAACGGCCACAUUGGGACUGAGAUACGGAGCAGACGGCUACGGGAGGCAGCAGGCGGGAAUAUUGCACAAUGGGCGGAAGCCUGAUGCAGCAACGCCGCGUGCGUGAUGACGGGCUUCGAGUUAUAAACAGCUUUCGCCUGUGACGAAGCGUGAGUGACGGUAAUGGGUAAAGAAGCACCGGCUAACUACGUG